UGUUCUGUAGUUUAGUUGGUUAAAACGCCGGACUAGCGAUAAUGGAGUCGUGGAUUCGAAUCCCACCAAAACAA
rnacentral:tRNA from 1 species